rnacentral:tRNA from 1 species
UCCCCGGUGGCUCAGACGGUAAAGAAUCUGCCUGCAAUGCACAAAAACUCGGGUUCGAUCCCCGGAUAGGGAA